AUUGAACGCUGGCGGCAGGCUUAACACAUGCAAGUCGAGCGGAGAUGAGGUGCUUGCACCUUAUCUUAGCGGCGGACGGGUGAGUAAUGCUUAGGAAUCUGCCUAUUAGUGGGGGACAACAUUCCGAAAGGAAUGCUAAUACCGCAUACGCCCUACGGGGGAAAGCAGGGGAUCUUCGGACCUUGCGCUAAUAGAUGAGCCUAAGUCGGAUUAGCUAGUUGGUGGGGUAAAGGCCUACCAAGGCGACGAUCUGUAGCGGGUCUGAGAGGAUGAUCCGCCACACUGGGACUGAGACACGGCCCAGACUCCUACGGGAGGCAGCAGUGGGGAAUAUUGGACAAUGGGCGGAAGCCUGAUCCAGCCAUGCCGCGUGUGUGAAGAAGGCCUUUUGGUUGUAAAGCACUUUAAGCGAGGAGGAGGCUAUUUAGAUUAAUACUCUAGGAUAGUGGACGUUACUCGCAGAAUAAGCACCGGCUAACUCUGUGCCAGCCGCCGCCGUAAUAC
rnacentral:rRNA from 1 species